rnacentral:tmRNA from 1 species
GGGGGCGACCUGGCUUCGACGUGGAUCGCGAAACCUUGAGUGCAUGCCGAGGGGUAGAUCACCUCGUAAAAACAGCUACAAACCUUAUAGUUGCCAACGACGACAACUACGCACUAGCUGCUUAAAAACCACGCUUAGUGCCCUCAGACCAGGCUGUGCUUGUGCAACUGGAUUCCUGGGGUCAUCCUCACAAGAUCGC